GACGAACGCUGGCGGCGUGCUUAACACAUGCAAGUCGAACGAAGUGGCGAACGGGUGAGUAACGCGUAAUCAACCUGCCCUUCAGAGGGGGACAACAAUUGGAAACGACUGCUAAUACCGAAUCCUGAAGGCGGGGAUUGCGUCUGAUUAGUGAGUUGGAGGGGUAACGGCGCACCAAGUCGAUGAUCAGGAGCCGGUCGGGGAGGAUGAACGGGCACAUUGGGACUGAGACACGGACCAUACUCGUACGGGAGGCAGCAGUGGGGAAUCUUCCGCAAUGGACGAAAGUUGGACGGAGCAACGCCGCGUGAGUGAUGACGGCCUUCGGGUUGGAAAGCUCUGUUAAUCGGGACGCGGUACCGGAAUAGAAAGCCACGGCUAACUACGUGCCAGCAGCCGCGGUAAUUC
rnacentral:rRNA from 1 species